UACGUAGGGUGCAAGCGUUAAUCGGAAUUACUGGGCGUAAAGCGUGCGCAGGCGGUUGUUUAAGUCAGCUGUGAAAUCCCCGGGCUUAACCUGGGAACUGCAGUCGAGACUGUCUAGCUAGAGUAUGGGAGAGGGAAGUGGAAUUUCAGGUGUAGCGGUGAAAUGCGUAGAUAUCUGAAGGAACAUCAGUAGCGAAAGCGACUUCCUGGACCAAUACUGACGCUCAUGUGCGAAAGCGUGGGGAGCAAACAGG
rnacentral:rRNA from 1 species